AGAGUUUGAUCCUGGCUCAGGAUGAACGCUGGCGGCGUGCCUAACACAUGCAAGUCGAACGUGAGGACCGCUUCGGUGGUCUGAAAGUGGCGGACGGGUGAGUAACACGUUGGUGACCUGCCCCGAGGUGAAGGAUAACCCCACGAAAGUGGGGCUAAUACUUCAGAUGUCUAAGUCGUUAGAGAGCUUGGACUAAAGUUCAGACGCCUCGGGAGGGGCCUGCGGGCUAUCAGCUAGUUGGUGAGGUAAAGGCUCACCAAGGCGAAGACGGCUAGGGGGCGUGAGAGCGCGACCCCCCACAAUGGAACUGAGACACGGUCCAUACUCCUACGGGAGGCAGCAGUGAGGAAUAUUGCGCAAUGGGGGCAACCCUGACGCAGCAACGCCGCGUGGAUGAAGAAGGCCUUCGGGUUGUAAAAUCCUUUUCUGGGGGACGAUGGUGACGGUACCCCAGGAAUAAGUCCCGGCUAACUACGUGCCAGCAGCCGCGGUAAAACGUAGGGGGCAAGCGUUAUCCGGAUUUAUUGGGCGUAAAGCGCACGUAGGCGGUCUGGCAAGUUGGACGUGAAAGCUCCUGGCUUAACUGGGAGAGGUCGUACAAAACUACCAGGCUUGAGGAUGGAAGAAGAGAGUGGAAUUCCCGGUGUAGUGGUGGAAUGCGUAGAUAUCGGGAGGAACACCAGUGGCGAAAGCGGCUCUCUGGUCCACCCCUGACGCUGAGGUGCGAAAGCGUGGGGAGCGAACGGGAUUAGAUACCCCGGUAGUCCACGCUGUAAACGAUGGAUACUAGGUGUAGGAGGCUAUUUACCCCUCCUGUGCCGCAGCCAACGCGUUAAGUAUCCCGCCUGGGGACUACGGCCGCAAGGUUAAAACUCAAAGGAAUUGACGG
rnacentral:rRNA from 1 species